rnacentral:lncRNA from 1 species
UCGAUUUUGUACUGUGUCAAGGUGGUGAGUCCUCCAAUAAAGGCAAGGAAAUUGCAUCCGAGGACCAGUAGACAGAGUGCUUCGAAAGUCUGCAUUCUAGACAUUGUGAGUAAACUUAUUAUCGUCUUAAUUAUCUAGAGUAGUUUUAUACAACUAUGUGAUUUUAUGAAAAAUGGGUUUAAAUGGUAAAUUGUUAUGUUUUAAGGGAAAUUGUGAUUUUAUAAAAUGAUUUUAUAAAUUUUCUGAAAAAUCGAAUAUUGGUUUUGAAAAUAGAGUAAUUGGAGACUGCUAGUUUGUGUUGCAAAUUUAUGGUUCUGAAUUGAAUGGCUUAUGACAAUAAAUGAGCAUGAAUGGCUAAACUGAUUUUGGUGUUAUAAUUAUUUAUACUGUGUAUUCAGCCUUGAGAGGCUAGGUUGUGAUAAAUUGCCAUGACAUGCUAGAAUGAAUUUUAUUGAUUGGUGGAUUAUAUAUUAAUUAUUUACUGCAGAGGGGGUUCCGUGGACCAGCCUAUUAGAGGGGCACGGUAAACUCCAUUAUAUUAUUACCUCGAACGGAGAGGCGCGUAGGGUAUCUCCUGGGGUAUAGCUUAGGGUUCACUUCACGCCAAACCACCACGUGAAGGGGAACUCAGCCAACGCCAAGGAACGGCUGUAUUUUUUCAAACAAAAUAUAUUUUAAGUUUACACAAAAUUUUAACAGCCUUUGGCGGACUCGGUUAGAUGCCCUGCGCAAGGUAUCACCGAGUAUGAGUUUUUGGCACAAGCCAAAUUUUAAGAAAUUCAUAAGCCAAGUUGAUUACUCGAUUUUUAUGGAUUGAUUUUAUUUGGUUGAAAUGAGUUGAAUGGUAAUGAAAUUACAGUAUGAUGAUUUAUUUUAAUUGUCUCCAUUUACUCGACUUUAGAUAGUUUAGAUGGUAUCUGUUUACUCACUGGGAUUUUAUAAUCUCACCACCCUCAUUUCCUCACAUUUCAGGCUCAGGGAAUUCCGUAGUUAGCUGACUUGAACAAGGACCUUCAUUUGGACUCGAAUCGGUAAAAGCUGUAGGUUUCCAGCUUCCGAUGCAUUUUGGAUAGAUAUGGGCCCACGUGUCACUGUAAAAGAAAUUUUAUGCUUUGGUUAUUUGCUUUAUAGUAUAUAUGAAUAUAAUUAUCUUUUACGUUAUAAG